GGGACCAUGGGCGGCUUAUGUUCCACGAUUUUGAGGCCAUUUGCAGCGAGCUCCGCCAGCCUGCCCCUCCCCUGCAGCCGCCACCACCGGCACAGCACCGCCACCAGUGUCUUCGGGGCUUUCUUCAGAGGAGACUGUCAGCAUCCUCAAGUUCCAGGUGCUCUGGCCCCAGUCCUGCUUCUUGACGCUUUUUGCCAGGGGCUGCCUCCCCUUCUCAAUGGCCUGAACCUUGGCCAGUUCCCACAAAGUUUGACGGGAACACAAGGCUGUCACUGACAUUUGUGGCACUAUAACUUACAGGCACGCGUGUUGCACACAUCGGACACUGUGCCACAUGCAGUGACACCAUCUGAGGUGCGCACGCCGCACGCGCACCCCGCACGCGCACGCCGCACCGUCUUGGCUUGGCGUUCUGCACACGCGUGUGUAACGGCUUGGGUUGGCGUUCCUCGCUUGGCUUGGUGUUGGUCGCUUGACUUGACGUUCCUUGCUUGGCUUGGCAUUGGUCGCUUUGCUUCCUGGUCCUUGCGUGGAUUGGCGUUUCCUCCCUCGGCAUUCCUUUGCUGGGCUUGACCUUUCCUUGGCUGGGCUUGGCAUUCCCCUGGCUGGGCUGGGUGUUUCCUUGGCGGGUGGGUGGAGGGGCUUGGCCUUUCCCCGGGUGGGUGUGGGCUUUCCCCCGGGGUGGGAGUGGGAUUUUCCCAGGUGGGUGUGGCCUUGCAAAUACUGCUGGGCUUGGCCUCUCCUCGCCUGGGCUGGGCUCCACUGCUUUGGUGGGUUUUGGCUGUGCUUGACCUUUCUCCUGUAACAGAUUGGAAACCUAGAGUAUCUUGCUUGUUGGUGAAAUUUGUUGGCAGAGGUGAUUGGCUGGCUACUACCUGGCUCCCCAGGCUGGUAAAAGAGGAUGGGGGCUGAGGUUUCUUCAAAGCCGGCUGCCUCUACUAUGAAGAAGCCUUUUGGCCUCAGCAGCAAGAUGGGCAAGUGGUGCUGCCACUGCUUCCCCUCCUGCAGGGGGAGUAGCAAGAACAACGUAGACUCUGGGGGAGACCACGACGACAUCGCCUUUUUGGAGCCAAGGCCCCACAGCACCCUGGAUGUGGAAACCUCGGAGAGGUUGGCGCAAAGUCCUCUUUAUGAGCAACAACACAAAAAAAUUUUGGCUGAUUUCCAAUCAGUAAUAAUUUCCUUUACAUAACACUUAAUAGACUGUUUUAAAGUGGUUUAACUUGCAAGAUUAAGUCGAUGCAGCAGAUUAUUUUUAAUGUACACAUUUAAAACAAUGUUAUAUGCAUUAUAGAAAGGUGUGUAAUGAGAAAUAAUUCCCAUAAUAUAUCGACUUCUGGGCUAAAUAUUCUUCAGAUAAAAUCCAAUGUGCGUUUUAUGUCAAUGUAUCCCUAUAUAAAUAUGUUCUUCACUGAGGAGUCUUAGAAAGAAACUGAAAUGGGAAGAUGGUUCAUGUCCUUGAAUAAGAAGAUUCAUUUUUCUCAAGAUGUGAGUUCUUU
rnacentral:lncRNA from 1 species